UGGGGAAUUUUGGACAAUGGGCGAAAGCCUGAUCCAGCAAUGCCGCGUGUGUGAAGAAGGCCUUCGGGUUGUAAAGCACUUUUGUCCGGAAAGAAAUCCUUGGCUCUAAUACAGUCGGGGGAUGACGGUACCGGAAGAAUAAGCACCGGCUAACUACGUGCCAGCAGCCGCGGUAAUACGUAGGGUGCAAGCGUUAAUCGGAAUUACUGGGCGUAAAGCGUGCGCAGGCGGUUUGCUAAGACCGAUGUGAAAUCCCCGGGCUCAACCUGGGAACUGCAUUGGUGACUGGCAGGCUAGAGUAUGGCAGAGGGGGGUAGAAUUCCACGUGUAGCAGUGAAAUGCGUAGAGAUGUGGAGGAAUACCGAUGGCGAAGGCAGCCCCCCUGGGCCAAUACUGACGCUCAUGCACGAAAGCGUGGGGAGCAAACAGGAUUAGAUACCCUGGUAGUCCACGCCCUAAACGAUGUCAACUAGUUGUUGGGGAUUCAUUUCCUUAGUAACGUAGCUAACGCGUGAAGUUGACCGCCUGGGGAGUACGGUCGCAAGAUUAAAACUCAAAUGAAUUGACGGGGUCAUAGCUGUUUCCU
rnacentral:rRNA from 1 species